rnacentral:lncRNA from 1 species
GUGAAAGUGAGUUAAGUGACUAUGAUAAAUUGUAAAUAGCCUCUUCUGUGGCCAGAGAAUGGGAAAGACUCAUUGGGGGCUUUAUUCUCUAUGACGCAAAGUUCAUUAUGUUUGUUUCAGAGAUGCUCAUAUCAGACAUUAAGAAUAUCUGUUUAAUGACUCUUGGGAUUCUAAACAAGUUACUGGAAUGAAGCUUUCUUGAUUUUAAAUGGCUGUUUCUCCUGGCCUCUACCUGAGUUUCUGGACACUGCUGAUUCCAUCAUGAAAAAUCUUGCUCAGAAAAGGCACACACUCCCAAUAGUGUUGUGGAUAUGUGUGUGGAGGCUAUCAAACUUUUAACAAUGUGCAUGCUGAAAAUAUUUUAUUUUCAGAAAUAAACCAUUGAAAAAGUUCACAUAAGUAUUGUCGUGGUUAUUUUUCUUGCUGCUGAAACAAAAUGCCC